ACGGUGACACUCUCUAUCAACACACUUAAGAAACUAGUAUUUAUUGCUAUGUUUAUGUGAUAUUUCCGUAGAAAGUGGUAUGUAUAUAAGGAAACAGUGACCCUAGGAUUGUAUUAAUCAAUGAUGUUGCACAUCCUUACCCCGCUAUGGUAUUUACGUUAAGCUCCUGGGUUUGGAGGGUUCCACGUCGUAAUCUGCCUCCUAGCUCUAUCUAUUCGUCAUUCUCGCCGCCAGUAGCUACAGAUAAUCAUCGGUGUAUUUAUUGGAAAGCUUUUGAGAGGGGUAUUUAUCUAGUUGUUGCUUUUGAUAUGGUGAGUGAAGUCUUUAGUGAAAUACAUCUCCCUCAUAGUGUAUCAAGAUUUCUCCAUCUCUAGGAUAAUGGAUAAAGGAUUCUCUUGCUCUACUUGAAUACUAAGAAACCAAUUUAUGGUGUAUGGAUGAUGGUGUUUCAAAACCGUUCACAAAGCUAUUCACCAUCAACGGUUCAACACACAGGAUGCACCGUUAGAAACUAAGGUUUUGUAGAUGACGCAAUCCUUGUUGGCUGAUCGGCUGAUCAAAAGAGCCAGAAGCAUUUUUAUCCAAUCAAGCGAGUUGUGAUCAGGCAAAAUAAAGUAAAAUCUCCAUUACACAUUUUUGCGAGAAUGGGCAGAAACUUCCAAGUGAUUUGUAAAUGGUGUGAUUUGAUGUUAUCUCCACUACAUAUGGUUGGGUUUUCAAUUGUGAUGUUGAGGUGUGUAGGCUCAGUUAUGAAAGAGGUGCAAGUCGUUGUCCUAAAUAAUAAGGUUGGUUGAACUGGUAUAUGUAUUUUGUGCUAGGGUCCAGCACUUGCGGCAAUAGGUGAUUCCGUGAACAAGUGGCAAAGAGCUCGACUCAAAAAGGAAUGGUGGUUUAUUUGAUAAUUGGUCGGUUGCAGAAACAUGACAAAUUAGAUUUGGUGGAUGAAUGUGACAGGCAUCUGUUUUAAUGUAGGUGGUGGUCCAUAAAAUAAGGCUGUGGUGGUUCAUAAAACAAGGCUUGUUGAUUGGUACAAUAUAUGUAUUUUAUAGCCCAUAUGAUAAUAUUCUAUCCAAGGGGCAGCAGGAAAAAGACUGCCAUUUUAAAAGUUGACUCGAAAAGUCAUCAUGCAAGGGUCCACUUCUGUUUUGCAAACAAUAGUGUAUUUAUCAGGGGAGAGAUAAGUUUACAACAAUAGUUAGACAUUAACAACAAUGCAUGGUUGUAGAGUACUCUACAACAAAAUAUGUACAUUUGUUAUGAAUAGUUAAAAGUUGUGGAUAUAUCACUAUUCUAUUUGUUA